UUCAUUUCAUGGCAUUCUAUCAUUCUUAAUUCUGAUUGGCUUAUUUCCAGAACUGUUUCUAUUGGUUAAAUUCCAGAACUGCUACAGGUGAACAUGUGACCACAGCAGUGUCACGUGACCUCACCUCUGACCCCGCAGUGGACAGGCGCACAGUGAGCAGUCGCUGACGGAGCCCUGCACCUUCCCAUAAUACCCUGCGGCGCAGACGUGGCAGUGCUGUCCUGCGGUGUUGUGCUGGCAGCCCUGAACACACAAGGAUUAUUCAGCAUCUCAAGCAGCUGCUUGUGUCUGUGUUAUCAGCUGCUCUGUGUUUCUCACCAGACACUCGCCCGUGUCCAGGUCACAUGACAGGCUGUGGUUGUUGCACCGGCAGGGGACACAGGGCCGGAUGAGCGGACGCUUUCUGCCCUUCAUGUUGAGCUCAGACACGGCCUGACGGUAAUAUCCUGGAGCACACUCCUGGAACAGAGAGCAUGAUGGGUUUGUGAGUCUGGAUAAAGGACAGGAACUAUCAGACACAUUCUACAUUCAUCACGAAGGUUUGGUCUGAGAUCUGUCUGUAGAUGAUGAUGAUGAUGAUGAUGAUGACCUGACAGGAGAGUCCAGCGUAUCCCAGCGGACACUCACAGGCCUCCACCAGCCGCGCCACGUCUCCACCCUGAGGAGCCUCAUCCGCCUCCAGAGCCGUGUCCAUCGAGAUAUUAGAGAUCCUGCAGAGAGUUAACGCUCUUAAUUCACGUCUCACUGUGGGCGGCCCGAGGCGGGGCGUGAUGUUGUAUCGGGUCAGACACUCUGUGUCGCUGAUGGCGUAGUACUGCCACGGCUGGAAGUCCACUCCGUCCAGAGAACGCUCCAGGAUCCAGUUCCCGGGCCGCGGAGAGUUCGCCGCUUUGAUGAUGAUGUACGCCACCUGGAAGACCUGCAGGACGAGGAACGAUUCAUACCAGGGUUAAUAUAGAGAACUAAAACCAAUGCUCAAUGCUAAAAAAAAAACAUGAACUGAAAUAAAAUAUUUGUAAAAAAUUUAACUUUUUAUUUCAGCCAGUGGCCACAACAAUGUUUCUCAUAUUCAGUUUGUUUAACUCAGUACUAAAAUAACUAAAACUGAGCUAAUUUUUUAACAACUUUAAAGCCAAAAAAAAAU
rnacentral:lncRNA from 12 species